GACGAACGCUGGCGGCGUGCUUAACACAUGCAAGUCGAACGGCAACGCCCUGCUUUCGUGGGGUGCUCGAGUGCCGAACGGGUGAGUAACACGUGAGUAACCUGACCUUGUCUUUGGGAUAACUUCAGGAAACUGGGGCUAAUAUAGGAUAGGAGCUCCCGCUGCAUGGUAGGGGUGGGAACGUUUAGGCGGGCGUGGUUGGAUUCGCGGGUUAUCGGUUAGCUGGUGGGGUAGUGGCUUACCAAGGCUUUGACGGGUAGCCGGCCUGAGAGGGUGACCGGCCACAAUGGGACUGAGAGAGGGCCCAGACGCCUACGGUAGGCAGCAGUGGGGAAUAUUACACAAUGGGCGGAAGCCUGAUGCAGCAACGCCGCGGGCGGGAUGACGUCCUUCGGGUUAUAAACCGCUGUCGCCUGUUACGAAGCGUUAGUGACGGUAAUGAAUAAAGAAGCACCGGCUAACUACGUG
rnacentral:rRNA from 1 species